AAAGUCCGCCACGACAAUCGCGGGUACUUUCAGGUACACGAGGAAAGUCCGGACUCCACAGAGCACCGUAGCAGCUAACGGCUGCCUGCCGCAAGGUACGGAUUAGAGCAACAGAGACGAGCCGACGUCAGGGUCGGGUGAAACGGGCAAUCUCUACGGGGAGCAACAUCAAAUAGGCAACCGCUGAUCCUGCUCGGGGAGGUUGCGGGUAGAUGGCUUGAGGCAAGGCGUGAGUCUUGUCCUAGAUGAAUGAUUGUCGGUCGAGAGGGUUUCUUCUCGAAACAUAAUCCGGCUUAUCGGCGGGCUUUGCGC
rnacentral:RNase_P_RNA from 1 species